UGCGUAACGCGUAUGUAACCUACCUACUACUAUAGGAUAGCCCAUGGAAACGUGGAUUAAUACUGUAUAGUAUUAUUGAAUUGCAUAAUUUAAUAAUUAAAGAAUUUCGGUAGUAGAUGGGCAUGCGUAUGAUUAGCUAGUUGGUAAGGUAACGGCUUACCAAGGCGACGAUCAUUAGCGGUUCUGAGAGGAUGAUCCGCCACACUGGCACUGAGAUACGGGCCAGACUCC
rnacentral:rRNA from 1 species